rnacentral:rRNA from 1 species
CCUACGGGUGGCAGCAGUGAGGAAUAUUGGUCAAUGGGCGCGAGCCUGAACCAGCCAAGUAGCGUGAAGGAUGACUGCCCUACGGGUUGUAAACUUCUUUUAUAAAGGAAUAAAGUGAGGCACGUGUGCCUUUUUGUAUGUACUUUAUGAAUAAGGAUCGGCUAACUCCGUGCCAGCAGCCGCGGUAAUACGGAGGAUACGAGCGUUAUCCGGAUUUAUUGGGUUUAAAGGGAGCGUAGAUGGGUGGUUAAGUCAGUUGUGAAAGUUUGCGGCUUAACCGGAAAAUUGCAAUUGAUACUGGCAGUCUUGAGUACUGUUGAGGUAGGCGGAAUUCGUGGUGUAGCGGUGAAAUGCGUAGAUAUCACGAAGAACUCCGAUUGCGAAGGCAGCUUACUAAACUGCCACUGACAUUGAUGCUCGAAAGUGUGGGUAGCAAACAGGAUUAGAUACCCCGGUAGUC